AUUUUGAAUUUAAAGAAAACAUAACCUUCCAUAUUUCCAAAAAAAUCAAAACUUUUAAUUUAUUACCAAAAAAUAACAAAUGGAAAUUAAUUUCAAAUUUCAUUACCGUAUCCAAAAUAAAUCUUUAAAUGAUUAAAAUAAUGGGUACGCGAAAAACGGUUUUUACGGAAAUACCCGGUUUUCAGGCAUUCCCGCGCUUAGUUUUGAAUCCCAACUUUUAGGCGGGGGACUGAAUUAAUUGACGUUAAUGGCCGGUCACACACGUCAAUAGACAUCUGUGUUCCCAUAUGGAAAUGUCGAGAUUGCCCGGUCAUUGUCCUCAUUGCCAUCUGGAGAAUCUUUUGUUUAGUAUCUACUUCUAUAGCUAUAGGAGUAAAUGACCAUGGAAGAAAUGAGGGACAAAUUCCAAACAGCAUUAAACAUAAUGGUCAGUAGUAAAAGAGAUGACAAUAAGUUUUUAUUGAAUAAAACUGAAUAUCAGCAAAAAAUCUUGGAUGUGAAGGCAGCUAAAAUAAUACUUAAAACACCAUCGUCGCCAAAGACCCAAUCUCAUUAUAGACUUGUUAGAAGGUAUGAUAUAUUAACCCAGGAUAAUCGAGAGAGGUUGAUACGACCAGCAGAUGACAGCAACCACCUACUGUAUUAUGUUACAAAUGAAGAAUUAUUUGACAUUUUAUACUCGACUCAUAUGGAACUAAAUCAUGGAGGGCGAAACAGGAUGGGAGCCGAACUAAAAACUAAAUAUUGUAACAUAACUAAAGAGGUUAUAAUGGUCUUUCUAAGGUUCUGUGGUCAUUGUCAAAAUAAAACUCCUAUAGGAGGAAGGAAGAAACCAGUGUCCAAGCCAGCCAUUCAUUCUAAAAAGUCCAGUGUUCAUGUUGAUUUAAUUGACAUGAAAACACACUCUUACAGUGGUUACCAAUUUAUUUUGGUCCAUCAAGAUAAAGCCACCAAAUUCAUACAUCUUAAAGCAUUGAAAUCCAAAGAAGUGGAUGAAAUUGUGAGACACUUGUUAGAUAUUUAUACCACUUUUGGAGCCCCAGCAAUAUUAAACUCUAAUCAGGGAAGAGAAUUUAUCAUUUCUAUAAUAACCGAGCUGCAGAGGCAAUGGAAGGAUAUAAAGAUGGUGCAUGGGAAACCCUUGCAUGGGCAUAGUGAAACUAUGUUAGAAACCAGAAAUAAAGAUUUGGAAGAGAUGACUGUGGCUUGGAUGAAGGAUAAUAAGACUCUGGAUUGGCCUUCGGGGAUUAAGUUUAUACAGUUUAGGAAGAAUUCUGCCUUUCAUACGGGCAUAAAACCUAGGGAAGGAGGAAGGUGAACAUUUUCUUACCCAUGUAAUGUUUUAUUUACAUUCAACUUCUCACUUGCUCUGAAUGUGGAAUGGGCAACCAAAGGAUGUAUGUAAGAUGAGUUCCAAAAGAAUUGCCUCCUGCAAUUUCCUGCUUGUGCUUUUUGAAGACCAGUUAUUGGUUCAAGCAUAUGUAAGCAAUAAAGAGCCAAGAUUCUAUUUUGCACAAAAAGAUACCAACAAGAUUCACGACACCUCACUAUACAAAGGACUCUAAUUGCUCUUUUUUGCAGAAAAAAUACUGUAAUAAAGUAGAACAUUUUGGAAACUGUUUCAACUUUCAGGUUAGCCAUCUAAGUAUUCAGUCACUUGGACACAAGAUUCAGGAACUUGAAUGUCUGGAUAAUGAGAGUAAUGUUGGUUUUUUUGAAAACUGCUGACAUGUCAUAUCAGUUAUGAUUUUUUUUCCAUUAGUUAGUUCCUACUGUAGGUCAGCUGGCUCACCUGGUGGCGUCACAAUAUUUGUUAUGGAGUCAUUUUUCUACAAACUAAGUCUAGACUUUCUGGGGUUGUCAGUGACUGUCAGCUGUGGGGUUUCUGCCGUACAAUCUGAUGAGGUAUCGGUAAAUCACCUUAUGAAGCAAUGUUUGGAUCUCCAGCAGGACUGGGACUUCUAUCAACUCCCCAAAGUGAGACGUCUAUAAAAAGUGAUUCUGAGGAGGAGCUUAAUUCACUACUAAGCAGUGAAAAGGCGACCCCUCAAAGAAACGAGGAAAUCGUCAUGGAAAUCUCUCCAGAGACACUUAAAAAUUACUAUAUGCAAUGAAUUUGCAUAGAAAUAUGUUGUUUCUAUAGCGAAAACGCGAGAAGUGAUGGAUUUUCAAUAAAUCCAGUUAAAAGUCUAAAAUAUUGGGAAGAAUAUGGUGUAGGAAUGGCUAUUCUAUAUUUUCCUGAUAAGCAACAUUUCUUUGUAUAUAAGUUUGUCUGUGAUUAAACGGGAUGUUUUAUUCUUA